rnacentral:rRNA from 1 species
UGGCGACCGGCGUACGGGUGAGUAACGCGUAUCCAACCUGCCCUUUACUAUGGGACAGCCCGUCGAAAGGCGGAUUAAUACCGUAUGUUGUCAUGUUGAUGCAUAUUUUCAUGACCAAAGGCUUCGGCCGGUAAAGGAUGGGGAUGCGUCUGAUUAGCUUGCCGGCGGGGUAACGGCCCACCGGGGCGACGAUCAGUAGGGGUUCUGAGAGGAAGGUCCCCCACAUUGGAACUGAGACACGGUCCAAACUCCUACGGGAGGCAGCAG